rnacentral:rRNA from 1 species
AUUGAACGCUGGCGGCAGGCCUAACACAUGCAAGUCGAACGAGUGGCGGACGGGUGAGUAAUGUCUGGGAAACUGCCCGAUGGAGGGGGAUAACUACUGGAAAAGGUGGCUAAUACCGCAUACUAUCGGAUGUGCCCAGAUGGGAUUAGCUAGUAGGUGGGGUAACGGCUCACCUAGGCGACGAUCCCUAGCUGGUCUGAGCGGAUGACCGUCAACACUGGAACUGAGACACGGCCCAGACUCCUACGGUAGGCAGCAGUGGGGAAUAGUGCACAAUGGGCGCAAGCCUGAUGCAGCCAUGCCGGGUGUAUGAAGAAGGCCUUCGGGUUGUAAAGUACUUUCAGCGGGGAGGCGUUACUCGCAGAAGAAGCACCGGCUAACUCCGUGCCAGCAGCCGCGGUAAUUC